rnacentral:ribozyme from 11 species
UUUAGUUUUUUCGUCUCCUUUGCUGGUCCCUUCGUCCUCUCUUUCUUUCUUUCUUUCCUUCCCUCUUUUUGGGUGGUGGGUGGAAUUGUGGAAGGAAGGAGGUGGUCCUAGAAGUUAGACAACAGAGUCGGCAAGUGAAAGAGAGAAAAUGGUUU